rnacentral:lncRNA from 1 species
GUUUUGUGCCUUCGGUGCUGCCUCUCCUUUGUUCUGGGCCAGCACUGGGGCUUCCUUUCUUUUCAAAUGCAUAUCUGAAUUUCCUUUCAAAUGUAUUCUUUAUGAUACCAUAUUUAUUGUUACUCCCAGCUUUCAAAAUAUAUAUUCAGUGCACUUUUCAAAUGGUCAAAAGGUGUUUGCUUUUGGUUGAAGGCCUCAUUCCUCUGGGCAUCGCAAAACAAUUUCUGGAAAGCUGGAGCCGUGCCUUUGCAGGCAGGAUCCCCAGCUGCUAGGUCACGCCCACAGCAGAAGGUCCCAGGGACUGGGAGUAAUCGUCAGUUUCCCAUCGUUGCCAUCUACGGAGGCUCUGCAUUGUCAUGAGCACCUCGCAGUUAUGACCUCUCACCCUGCAACAGCCCUGAGUCGUGGGGCUUUCUAUCCUUAUUUCACAGCAACAGGCCCAAAGGUGAUACCUGCUCCCUUCACCUUCUGCUGUGAGUGGAAGCUCCCUGAAGCUCUCACCAGAAGCAGAUGCUGGCACCAUGCUUCUUGUACAGUUUGAGGAACCAUGAGUUAAAUAAACCUCUUUUCUUUAUAAAUCACCCAGCCUUGACUAUUCCUUCAUAGAAAUGGAAGCAGACUAAGACAGAGGGAGAUAGAGAUGGUGUAGGUGCAGAAGAGAAGCUGGGAGAGCAAGGUGGGGAGGAGGAAUGCAUCUCUGUAGUCCCCAUGGAGUGAGGGCCAAAGUCACUUGCUGAGGGGAGUGGGCAGGGGUUUGAGAGGGGAGUGAGGGUUGAAUGGAGGUUGGGUGGAACAGGGAGAUGACAGUUCUGAACAGUCUGGCAGUGCUGAGAACCCAGUGGCACUCAGUAGCCUGGGUAGGCAUGGAGAAGGUGAGGCCAUCAGACUGUCCCUGGGUAGGGUUUGCUGGGUGGGUGAGAGGCAAAACUGGGGCAGUGUCGGGGCGGAGUCUGGGCCCAUGAGGAAAGGAGGGUGGGAGGCAGGACAGACUCACAGGCUAUAAAUUUUGCAGAAUCUGAAGAAAGUCACAAAUGAGACUCAUCCCUUAAGUCUCCAGACAGUAACUAUGGUGCCAGGAUGACUCAGGCCCAAUCUUUUUGGGGCUUCCCAGUCAACAGUAGCCUGACCCUAAAAGAGCUGCUCUAAGCAUGGGCCCUGUACAGGGAACUGUGGAACAGUGGGCCUGUGAGGCAAGGUCCCUGGCCUGCACUACCCACCUGCCUUCCCGGGCAAGGCUGAUGUGCUGCUGAGAGCUAGGUGACCCUAUGAGGGGGCUAAGGGACCCCACUAGGGAGCUAG